CGGGCAGUAACUCAGUGGUAAAGCUCCCGAUUCGUAUGCGGGAAGACCUGAGUUCGAUUCCCGGCUGCUUCC
rfam:Toxocara canis scaffold391, whole genome shotgun sequence.